UAUAGCGCUUCUCAAGACACUCAAAGACGCUUUCCACGAAUCAGAUGACAAUAACAGUCAGGUCAGUGAGCAGGAAGUCCGGCUGGCGGGUGCUGGUGUCAGCGACGCUGUCCACUGCGGUGAAAUGCAGAAAAGUCACGCCGGCUGACGAGAGCCUAACUGGACGUAUGGGGACACGGAAGGAUGUUCGGUAGCUGAGCUCGCUGCACGCAUGUUCACGACUCACAACCGAAGCCGGGUGUUCAAGAGCUUGCUCAGAGAGAGAGAGAUAGCCUCCAGCCUCUCGUCGCCCUCCACUGUGAUAGCAGCCACUGGCUUCUUUUCACACUCCAGCAUUGCAUCCUCUGGUUUGACUCUGGGUUAACUAUGUGCUGGAUGAGAAGAGGCCAAACAAUGAAAUCAUCAUGAAGGUUCAGCACACCUGCCUCACCCGAGAGAACCUAAUAACCCUCAGGUGGGGAAUGCUUGCUUGAGGCUCAGCGAGGAGAAUGUUCAGCAUCAGGACUGUUGCCCAGCAAAUCAAACCCGGAACAUGGUCAGAGUUGUCAAGCCUGGAUAUUGAGGACUUCGUUUUCCCUUGCCCGGACGCGGGUCACCGGGGACCCCCACUGGAGCCAGGCCUGGUGGUGGGGCUCGAAGGCGAGCGUCUGGUGGUCGGGCCUGCACCCAUGGGGCCCGGCCGGGCACAGCCCGAAAGGGUAACGUGGGUCCCCCUUCCCAUGGGAAGGGC